rnacentral:hammerhead_ribozyme from 1 species
ACUGCUGAUGAGUCUCAAAUAGGACGAAACGCUCUUCCUGAAU